CCUUGGCGGCAGCUAUAGAUGCAGGUCGCGCGCGGGCAGUGAGCUGAAGCCCUUCGGGGCGGACGCUCGUGGAACGAGCGGCGGACGGGUGAGUAACACGUGGGCAACCUACCUGUAAGACCGGAAUAACCCCGGGAAACCGGGGCUAAUGCCGGGUAACCGUUCGGUUCUCCUGAACCGAACGUAAAAGGAUGGCUUCUUGCUAUCGCUUACAGAUGGGCCCGCGGCGCAUUAGCUAGUUGGUAAGGUAACGGCUUACCAAGGCGACGAUGCGUAGCCGACCUGAGAGGGUGAUCGGCCACACUGGGACUGAGACACGGCCCAGACUCCUACGGGAGGCAGCAGUAGGGAAUCUUCCGCAAUGGACGAAAGUCUGACGGAGCAACGCCGCGUGAACGAUGAAGGCUUUCGGGUCGUAAAGUUCUGUUGUGAGGGAAGAACAAGGAUCGUGCGAACAGAGCGGUCCCUUGACGGUACCUCACGAGGAAGCCCCGGCUAACUACGUGCCAGCAGCCGCGGUAAUACGUAGGGGGCAAGCGUUGUCCGGAAUUAUUGGGCGUAAAGCGCACGCAGGCGGUUCCUUAAGUCUGAUGUGAAAGCCCGUGGCUCAACCACGGAGGGCCAUUGGAAACUGGGGAACUUGAGAACUGAAGAGGAGAGUGGAAUUCCACGUGUAGCGGUGAAAUGCGUAGAUAUGUGGAGGAACACCAGUGGCGAAGGCGACUCUCUGGUCGGUUUCUGACGCUGAGGUGCGAAAGCGUGGGUAGCAAACAGGAUUAGAUACCCUGGUAGUCCACGCCGUAAACGAUGAGUGCUAGUGUUAGGGGCUUCCACCCCUUAGUGCUGAAGUUAACGCAUUAAGCACUCCGCCUGGGGAGUACGGCGCAGCUGAAACUCAAAGGAUUGACGGGGCCGCACAGCGUGAGCAUGUGUUAUCGAGCACGCGAGACUACAGUCUGACAUCUGCUACUCUAGAGAUGGAGUCCUCCGGACAUGACAGUGUGCAUGUGUCGUCAGCUCGUGUCUGGAUGUGGGUAGUCGCACGAGGCAUCU
rnacentral:rRNA from 2 species